GGCCAGUUAGCUCAGGUGGUUAGAGCGUGGUGCUAAUAACGCCAAGGUCGCGGGUUCAAUUGCUGUACGGGCCA